GUGCAUUCUACGACGUCCGAGAAGCUCCAUACGGCCACCCGCGGGCCCCAGGGCGGCAGCCGUUCCUACACCCCGGGCCCUCUCGGGGCCCGAGUUUUCCAGGCUGCUCUUGGUCCCUCCGCUCCCACUCUCCUCGCUACCCCCGUCCUCCGCCCUGCCCCGUGGCGCCUCAGCUGCCGCCUCCCCUCGCCCACCUCGACGGCCAUGUUCGUGGGUGGGGACAGGCCAGCCCGACCCUCGGACUGCAGGACUCGCGGGCUACUUUAGGAGGAAGAGCAAGCUCCGUAACAGACAGAAGUUUAGAUUGUCAUUCUCAACUGCUAAUCAGGAAGCGGAAGUUAAACUCUUAGCAAAAUGGCAGCACCUGGAAAGACAAAUUGAGCCAAACUACCUGGGUUCAAAUCCUGACUCCACCACACACUACGGUUACCAACGAUCCUGAUCUGCCCAAGGCUGAGGAGUUUCCCAGGAUAUGGGACUUUCACUGCUAAAACCAGGAUAGUCCCACGCAAAGCAUCAUGACUGAUCACCCUACUUGCUGCCAUGAGACUACCACCAUCCUCGAGGAUGAUAGAUCCCAAGGAGAGAGUGCAGUCAACAUCCAGCCCCAUCAGCAUGUGACUUAUCCAGCCCCAAUCCAGUCACCAGAUAAUAGCAAAUGCAUGAGUUAAUUCAGGCGAGACCAUCAGAAUGAUCUAGCUGAACUUAUCUCAAAUUGCUGUCCUCUGUUGGAGUUUUUCUGCACAUAAAAAAUAAAAUUGCCGUCCUACAUAACUGUAAACAAGCAAAAUGGUUGU